rnacentral:rRNA from 1 species
AUUGAACGCUGGCGGAAUGCUUUACACAUGCAAGUCGAGCGGCAGCACGGGGGCAACCCUGGUGGCGAGCGGCGAACGGGUGAGUAAUACAUCGGAACAUGCCCAGUCGUGGGGGAUAACACUUCGAAAGAAGUGCUAAUACCGCAUACGUCCUGAGGGAGAAAGCGGGGGAUCGCAAGACCUCGCGCGAUUGGAGUGGCCGAUGUCAGAUUAGCUAGUUGGUGGGGUAAAGGCCUACCAAGGCAACGAUCUGUAGCUGGUCUGAGAGGAUGAUCAGCCACACUGGGACUGAAACACGCCCCGAACCCCAACGGGGGGCCGCGGGGGGGAAUUUUGAACAAUGGGGGCAACCCUGGUCCAGCCCUUCCGGGUGGGGAAAGAAGGCCUUCGGGUUGUAAAGCUCUUUGGGCAGGAACAAAACGGCGGGCCCUAACAUAGCUUGCUAAUGACGGUACCUAAAAAAAAAGCACCGGCUAACUACGU